rnacentral:rRNA from 1 species
UACAGAGGGGGCAAGCGUUGUUCGGAAUUACUGGGCGUAAAGGGCGCGUAGGCGGCCUGUUAAGUCGAACGUGAAAUCCCCGGGCUCAACCCGGGAACUGCGUCCGAUACUGGCAGGCUUGAAUCCGGGAGAGGGAUGUGGAAUUCCAGGUGUAGCGGUGAAAUGCGUAGAUAUCCGGAGGAACACCAGUGGCGAAAGCGGCUCUCUGGGGGCAACCUGACGCUGAGGCGCGAAAGCGUGGGGAGCGAACCGG